rnacentral:rRNA from 1 species
UACGUAGGGGGCAAGCGUUGUCCGGAUUUACUGGGCGGAAAGAGCGUGUAGGCGGCCAAACAGGUCCGUUGUGAAAACUGGAGGCUCAACCUCCAGACGUCGACGGAAACCGUGUGGCUAGAGUCCGGAAGAGGUGAGUGGAAUUCCUAGUGUAGAGGUGAAAUUCGUAGAUAUUAGGAAGAACACCAGUGGCGAAGGAGGCUCACUGGCCCGGUACUGACGCUGAGGCGCGAAAGCGUGGGGAGCAAACAGG